GCCGGGCAUGGUGAUGCAUGCCUGUAGUCCCAGCUACUUGGGAGGCUGAGGCAGGAUGAUUGCUUGAGCCCAGGAGUUUGAGGUUGCUGUGAGCUAGGCUGAUGCCAAGGCCUCACUCUAGCCUGAGCAACAAGGCGAGACUGUCUCAAAAGAAAAAAAAAAAAAAAGACACUAUCAGGACUAGGCUCAGUGGUAUGCAUCUGUAGUCCCAGCUACUCAGGAGGCUGAGGUAGGAUAGCUUGAGCCUAGGAGUUUGAGUCCAGCCUGGGCAGCACAGUGAGAUCAUGUUUCCU
rnacentral:SRP_RNA from 1 species